rnacentral:rRNA from 1 species
AUUGAACGCUGGCGGCAUGCCUUACACAUGCAAGUCGAACGGCAGCGGGGGAGAAGCUUGCUUUUCCUGCCGGCGAGUGGCGAACGGGUGAGUAAUACAUCGGAACGUGCCCUGUAGUGGGGGAUAACUAGUCGAAAGAUUAGUUAAUACCGCAUACGACCUGCGGGUGAAAGUGGGGGACCGAAAGGCCUCAUGCCAUAGGAGCGGCCGAUGUCUGAUUAGCUAGUUGGUGGGGUAAAGGCCUACCAAGGCGACGAUCAGUAGCUGGUCUGGGAGGACGAUCAGCCACACUGGGACUGAGACACGGCCCAGACUCCUACGGGAGGCAGCAGUGGGGAAUUUUGGACAAUGGGCGAAAGCCUGAUCCAGCAAUGCCGCGUGUGUGAAGAAGGCCUUCGGGUUGUAAAGCACUUUUGUCCGGAAAGAAAUGGCUCUGGUUAAUACCUGGGGUCGAUGACGGUACCGGAAGAAUAAGGACCGGCUAACUACGUGCCAGCCGCCGCAGUAA